rnacentral:rRNA from 1 species
GGCAGCAGUGGGGAAUAUUGCACAAUGGGCGCAAGCCUGAUGCAGCAACGCCGUGUGAGUGAAGAAGGUUUUCGGAUCGUAAAACUCUGUCCUAAGGGAAGAAACAAAUGACGGUACCUUAGGAGGAAGCCCCGGCUAACUACGUGCCAGCAGCCGCGGUAAUACGUAGGGGGCAAGCGUUAUCCGGAAUCACUGGGCGUAAAGGGUGCGUAGGCGGCUUAGCAAGCCAGGGGUGAAAGGCAUUGGCUCAACCAAUGUAAGCCUUUGGAACUGUUAAGCUUGAGUGCAGGAGAGGUAAGUGGAAUUCCUAGUGUAGAGGUGAAAUUCGUAGAUAUUAGGAGGAACACCAGUGGCGAAGGCGACUUACUGGACUGUAACUGACGCUGAUGCACGAAAGCGUGGGUAGCGAACAGGAUUAGAUACCCUGGUAG